rnacentral:rRNA from 1 species
UUCUAUCUAUGUAGUUGUUUUCUUUAGUACGAAAGGACCAAGAAAACGGGACCGCUGUCAGCGACACGUCCUAACCACAAGGCUGAACACAACUAAAGCCAAACAACAAAAAUCAUAAACCCGGAGAUAACGGGCUUA